rnacentral:misc_RNA from 1 species
ACAAACUUGGUCAUUUAGAGGAAGUAAAAGUCGUAACAAGGUUUCCGUAGGUGAACCUGCGGAAGGAUCAUUACCGAGUUAGGGUGUCUUUCUCUUGACAGCGCCCGACCUCCAACCCUUUGCUUACUUGACCUUUUGUUGCUUCGGCAGGCCCGUCCUUUCUGGGCCGCCGGGGGUGAGUCCUUUCACUCCUGGCCAGUCUGCCUGCCGACGGCCCAAAAUUCUAAACUCUUGCUUAAACGUGUCGUCUGAGUGAUUGUUAAAACAAAAUAACACAAAACUUUCAACAACGGAUCUCUUGGUUCUGGCAUCGAUGAAGAACGCAGC